AGUGAACGCUGGCGGUAGGCCUAACACAUGCAAGUCGAACGGCAGCACAGUAAGAGCUUGCUCUUACGGGUGGCGAGUGGCGGACGGGUGAGGAAUACAUCGGAAUCUACUUUUUCGUGGGGGAUAACGUAGGGAAACUUACGCUAAUACCGCAUACGACCUACGGGUGAAAGCAGGGGAUCUUCGGACCUUGCGCGAUUGAAUGAGCCGAUGUCGGAUUAGCUAGUUGGCGGGGUAAAGGCCCACCAAGGCGACGAUCCGUAGCUGGUCUGAGAGGAUGAGCAGCCACACUGGAACUGAGAGACGGUCCAGACUCCUACGGGAGGCAGCAGUAGGGAAUAUUGGACGAUGGGCGCAAGCCUGAUCCAACCAUACCGCGUGGGUGAAGAAGGCCUUCGGGUUGUGAAGCCCUUUUGUUGGGAAAGAAAAGCAGCAGGUUAAUACCCCGCUGUUAUGACGGUACCCAAAGAAUAAGCACCGGCUAACUUCGUG
rnacentral:rRNA from 1 species